rnacentral:rRNA from 1 species
GAUAAUACACGAAAAACCUUACCAAGAUUUGACAUCCCCCGCGAAGCUUUAGAAAUAAAGUAGAGGUUAUCGGGGUGACAGGUGGUGCAUGGUUGUCGUCAGCUCGUGUCAUGAGAUGUUUGGUUAAGUCCCGCAACGAGCGCAACCCUACUCUUUAGUUAAUCAAUUUAAAGAGACUGAACAGUAAUGUAUAGGAAGGUUGGGAUCACGUCAAAUCAUCAUGCCCCUUAUGUCUUGGGCCGCAAACGUGUUACAAUGGCGAGUACAGCGUGUCGCAAACCAGCGAUGGCAAGCUAAUCACUAAAAACUCGUCUCAGUCCGGAUAAAAGGCUGCAAUUCGCCUUUUUGAAGUUGGAAUCACU